rnacentral:lncRNA from 1 species
AUUUGUUGGGCAAUGUUGCGAGUUUCAAGUGUCGGCCAUUUUACAUUUUCCAAGGAUCGUCUGCUGCUUUGUUGUAGUGACUCAACACGUGUGAAUAAGAUCUCGUCGUUCAUUGUUUAAUAGGCGUUCGUGACUAAAGCUGACCAGCAGAGAUCUUAUCGUUUUUGCUGACCAUAUGCGAGUUGAAUUUGUUCGUGUCGUACAAAUGAUAAUGGCCCGUCGUAUAAAAUUCUUAAGGACUUGACAGACCACGUGAACAAUGCUCCCCAGUCGAAUACUCGAAGGAGAAAGUUCGACCAAAGAAAUCGCCUAUAUUUUUUAUAUGGUUAUUUUAUUACGACGAGACCUUGUUAACACUUUUUUCGACAGGUAAAAAAGAAGCGGCUGUCAGUAGAGUGAAAGGGCUGAGGGCAGCUGCAACUUUUUUCGGCAACUAGAUCUCUGGCCCUGCACAUAUUUGUCUUUACCCAUAAAUCUGUGGAUUUAUAUACCGUUUCUAAAAGCUCUGGAUGAACACCUUUCUAGAUACCACCAAAAGCUCCAUGUGCCUGUGAUGUGAUCUACUCAAUGUGAUUGUUUUCGCCGUGGACAUGGGUGACAAUCGAACUUUUUCCGUCAGCCAGAGCUUCGCGUCUCCGUAUCAGCUGUGCGACAACCGUUGGCACUCGGUCAAGGCCAACUACGUCGAGAACGCCCUCACGCGCAAGGUGGACCACCAGGACGAGCAGUACGGAUUCUCCAGCAACGGACACGUCAAGGAGGCCAAGACCCGCAAUCCGCUCUUGGCGGCCUGCCCGAACUGGAGCCGCAAGGGGCGCUGCGAGUACGGACAUGCCCGUACGUACGUGGAGACCAUGUUGCCGCAACGUGGUGAUCCGCGGCGAGAUCAAGGACUGGACCGACAUGGCCCGGCUCAACAACGUCCUCCUUAACGCCUGUCCCACUAACUAAUCAAAGUGCCUGAAAAUCAACCGGCCUAUUAUCCAAUUAGCCGAAAUACACAAAAACCUAACCAAAAA